AAUAGAUACCCCGGUAGUCCACGCCCUAAACUAUGUCAACUAGUUGUCGGGAAGAAAUUCCUUGGUAACGCAGCUAACGCGUGAAGUUGACCGCCUGGGGAGUACGGCCGCAAGGUUAAAACUCAAAGGAAUUGACGGGGACCCGCACAAGCGGUGGAUUAUGUGGAUUAAUUCGAUGCAACGCGAAAAACCUUACCUACCCUUGACAUGUACGGAAUUCCGCAGAGAUGUGGAAGUGCCCGAAAGGGAACCGUAACACAGGUGCUGCAUGGCUGUCGUCAGCUCGUGUCGUGAGAUGUUGGGUUAAGUCCCGCAACGAGCGCAACCCUUGCCAUUAGUUGCUACAUUCAGUUGGGCACUCUAAUGGGACCGCCGGUGACAAACCGGAGGAAGGUGGGGAUGACGUCAAGUCCUCAUGGCCCUUAUGGGUAGGGCUUCACACGUAAUACAAUGGUCGGUACAGAGGGCUGCCAACCCGCAAGGGGGAGCUAAUCCCAGAAAGCCGAUCGUAGUCCGGAUUGUAGUCUGCAACUCGACUGCAUGAAGCCGGAAUCG
rnacentral:rRNA from 1 species